AGUCGAGGGGCAGCAUCAUCAAAGCUUGCUUUGAUGGAUGGCGACCGCCGCACGGGUGAGUAACACGUAUCCAACCUGCCGACAACACUGGGAUAGCCUUUCGAAAGAAAGAUUAAUACCGGAUGGCAUAAUUAUUCCGCAUGGGAUAAUUAUUAAAGAAUUUCGGUUGUCGAUGGGGAUGCGUUCCAUUAGGCAGUUGGCGGGGUAACGGCCCACCAAACCUACGAUGGAUAGGGGUUCUGAGAGGAAGGUCCCCCACAUUGGAACUGAGACACGGUCCAAACUCCUACGGGAGGCAGCAGUGAGGAAUAUUGGUCAAUGGACGAGAGUCUGAACCAGCCAAGUAGCGUGAAGGAUGACUGCCCUAUGGGUUGUAAACUUCUUUUAUACGGGAAUAAAGUGAGCCACGUGUGGCUUUUUGUAUGUACCGUAUGAAUAAGGAUCGGCUAACUCCGUGCCAGCAGCCGCGGUAAUACGGAGGAUCCGAGCGUUAUCCGGAUUUAUUGGGUUUAAAGGGAGCGUAGGCGGGUUGUUAAGUCAGUUGUGAAAGUUUGCGGCUCAACCGUAAAAUUGCAGUUGAUACUGGCGACCUUGAGUGCAACAGAGGUAGGCGGAAUUCGUGGUGUAGCGGUGAAAUGCUUAGAUAUCACGAAGAACUCCGAUUGCGAAGGCAGCUUACUGGAUUGUAACUGACGCUGAUGCUCGAAAGUGUGGGUAUCAA
rnacentral:rRNA from 1 species